CCCUUAGAUGUCCUGGGCCGCACGCGCGCUACACUGAUGCAUUCAACGAGUAUUUCCUUGGCCGAGAGGCCUGGGCAAUCUUUUAAACCUGCAUCGUGAUAGGGAUAGAUUAUUGCAAUUAUUAAUCUUGAACGAGGAAUUCCUAGUAAACGCAAAUCAUCAAUUUGCAUUGAUUACGUCCCUGCCCUUUGUACACACCGCCCGUCGCACCUACCGAUUGAAUGGUCCGGUGAAAUCUCGGGAUUGUGGCCAGUUCACUUUAUUGGGAGUUGGCUGCGAGAGCUUGCUUAAACCUUAUCAUUUAGAGGAAGGUGAAGUCGUAACA
rnacentral:rRNA from 1 species